AUACGUAGGGGGCAAGCGUUAUCCGGAUUUACUGGGUGUAAAGGGAGCGUAGACGGCAAAGCAAGUCUGAAGUGAAAGCCCCGGGCUCAACCCGGGAAUUGCUUUGGAAACUGUUUAGCUAGAGUGCAGGAGAGGUAAGCGGAAUUCCUAGUGUAGCGGUGAAAUGCGUAGAUAUUAGGAGGAACACCGGCGGCGAAGGCGGCUUACUGGACUGUAACUGACGUUGAGGCUCGAAAGCGUGGGGAGCAAACAGGAUUAGAUCCCCUGGUAGUCCACGCCGUAAACGAUGAUUACUAGGUGUUGGUUGUCAUAGACAAUCGGUGCCGCAGCAAACGCAAUAAGUAAUCCACCUGGGGAGUACGUUCGCAAGAAUGAAACUCAAAGGAAUUGACGGGG
rnacentral:rRNA from 1 species